rnacentral:sRNA from 1 species
GCGAGAGUUUAGGCGGCUUGUAAGAAAGGGAGGCU